rnacentral:rRNA from 1 species
AGAGUUUGAUCCUGGCUCAGGACGAACGCUGGCGGCGUGCCUAAUACAUGCAAGUCGAGCGGACCGACGGGAGCUUGCUCCCUUAGGUCAGCGGCGGACGGGUGAGUAACACGUGGGUAACCUGCCUGUAAGACUGGGAUAACUCCGGGAAACCGGGGCUAAUACCGGAUGCUUGAUUGAACCGCAUGGUUCAAUCAUAAGAGGUGGCUUUUAGCUACCACUUACAGAUGGACCCGCGGCGCAUUAGCUAGUCGGUGAGGUAACGGCUCACCAAGGCGACGAUGCGUAGCCGACCUGAGAGGGUGAUCGGCCACACUGGGGCUGAGACACGGCCCAGACUCCUACGGGAGGCAGCAGUAGGGAAUCUUCCGCAAUGGACGAAAGUCUGACGGAGCAACGCCGCGUGAGUGAUGAAGGUUUUCGGAUCGUAAAACUCUGUUGUUAGGGAAGAACAAGUACCGUUCGAAUAGGGCGGUACCUUGACGGUACCUAACCAGAAAGCCACGGCUAACUACGUGCCAGCAGCCGCGGUAAUACGUAGGUGGCAAGCGUUGUCCGGAAUUAUUGGGCGUAAAGCGCGCGCAGGCGGUUUCUUAAGUCUGAUGUGAAAGCCCCCGGCUCAACCGGGGAGGGUCAUUGGAAACUGGGGAACUUGAGUGCAGAAGAGGAGAGUGGAAUUCCACGUGUAGCGGUGAAAUGCGUAGAGAUGUGGAGGAACACCAGUGGCGAAGGCGACUCUCUGGUCUGUAACUGACGCUGAGGCGCGAAAGCGUGGGGAGCGAACAGGAUUAGAUACCCUGGUAGUCCACGCCGUAAAACGAUGAGUGCUAAGUGUUAGAGGGUUUCCGCCCUUUAGUGCUGCAGCAAACGCAUUAAGCACUCCGCCUGGGGAGUACGGUCGCAAGACUGAAACUCAAAGGAAUUGACGGGGGCCCGCACAAGCGGUGGAGCAUGUGGUUUAAUUCGAAGCAACGCGAAGAACCUUACCAGGUCUUGACAUCCUCUGACAACCCUAGAGAUAGGGCUUCCCCUUCGGGGGCAGUGUGACAGGUGGUGCAUGGUUGUCGUCAGCUCGUGUCGUGAGAUGUUGGGUUAAGUCCCGCAACGAGCGCAACCCUUGAUCUUAGUUGCCAGCAUUCAGUUGGGCACUCUAAGGUGACUGCCGGUGACAAACCGGAGGAAGGUGGGGAUGACGUCAAUUCAUCAUGCCCCUUAUGACCUGGGCUACACACGUGCUACAAUGGGCAGAACAAAGGGCAGCGAAGCCGCGAGGCUAAGCCAAUCCCACAAAUCUGUUCUCAGUUCGGAUCGCAGUCUGCAACUCGACUGCGUGAAGCUGGAAUCGCUAGUAAUCGCGGAUCAGCAUGCCGCGGUGAAUACGUUCCCGGGCCUUGUACACACCGCCCGUCACACCACGAGAGUUUGUAACACCCGAAGUCGGUGAGGUAACCUUUUGGAGCCAGCCGCCGAAGGUGGGACAGAUGAUUGGGGUGAAGUCGUAACAAGGUAGCCGUAUCGGAAGGUGCGGCUGGAUCACCUCCUU